rnacentral:rRNA from 1 species
GACGAAGGGGGCUAGCGUUGUUCGGAAUUACUGGGCGUAAAGCGCACGUAGGCGGCUUAUCAAGUCAGAUGUGAAAGCCCCGGGCUUAACCCGGGAACUGCAUUUGAUACUGAUUGGCUAGAGACCGGGAGAGGAUAGCGGAAUUCCCAGUGUAGAGGUGAAAUUCGUAGAUAUUGGGAAGAACACCAGUGGCGAAGGCGGCUAUCUGGACCGGUACUGACGCUGAGGUGCGAAAGCGUGGGGAGCAAACAGG